rnacentral:lncRNA from 1 species
CUCAUCCCCUUAUUCGAAGCUAAAAGGAUUUGGCAAUAAACAACGGUUUCCAAGAACGCGGCAGUAUUGAAUAACAAAAAUGAGACUAGAAAUGAUACCUUAGGAGUGAGGAUCACAACUGACAUUCAGAAAAGCAAUGUUGAAACAAAGAAUAACUUCACGCAAACUAAUGCAAUUUGUAACGAGGAUAAAGACAAAAGUGUGUACACG